rnacentral:sRNA from 1 species
GCCAGGCAUGGUGGCGCAUGCCUGUAGUCCCAGCUACUUAGGAGGCUGAGGUGGGAGGAUCGCUUGAGCCCAGGAGGUCAAGGCUGUAGUAAGCCAUGAUCACACCACUGCACUGCAGCCUGGGCUACACAGUGAGACCCUGUCUCAA